CCGUCUUUCUUAGUCUUCAAUUUCUCGCUAACCAAGGUCUGAUCAGCAAGUCUUUAAGUGAUUGUGGCACACUCUAGCCGAAGCUCGGCAAUGCAAAGAUCGACAUUCUUCUUCUCAGUUGCGAUGGAGCUAAGCUGGGUAGUGGCGUUUUCUGCUUGAGCAUUGCCUGCCUGAAUCUCGUCUUCCCAUUUGCGCUCCUUAGCAGCAAA
rnacentral:lncRNA from 1 species